ACUGGCUGGCUAAACACAGUUAGUUGUGUUUCAGAAGCUGGGUCCCUUUGUGGAGAUCUUUGCCUGCAGAACACUGGAGAUAACCGACGGAUGCUGCUGGCAAUACAGGCAAGAGACCUCUCAACAUGGAACCAUCUUUAAAAAACCCUCUUUCUUGGAUGGUGGAUGCUUGGGCAGUUGUGGAUGUCUAGAGGCGAAUGGGAACACCUCCUUAGACUCCAAUUGACAGGAGAACAGACCUUCAUCACUCACAGUGGCUGAAUCAGGACAAUACUAUUAUCCCAAGCCUACUAUACUUGUGAGCUCUAAAGAAGUGGUCCUUGGAGGAACUGCCACUAUUUACUGUACAAGGCCUGUGGAACUUCAAGAGGCAAACAUAUUCAGACUGUACAAAGUGGUGAAUUCCAAGCCAUUUUUACUGAGGGAGUUGUCAGAGAAACAGAGCCUGGUCGGCUUUUCAAUUCCCAAUGCCACCCAAUCAUUAGGGGGGGAGUUAUGUUUGUAACUAUUGCUCAUCAGACAACAAUCACCAUUGC